rnacentral:rRNA from 1 species
AGCUCCAAUAGCAUAUAUUAAAGUUGUUGCGGUUAAAAAGCUCGUAGUUGGAUUUCUGUUCAGGACGAUCGGUCCGCCCUCUGGGUGAGUAUCUGGCUCGGCCUUUGCAUCUUCUUGAAGAACGCAACUGCACUUGACUGUGUGGUGCGGUAUACAAGACUUUUACUUUGAGGAAAUAAGAAUGUUUGAAGCAGGCACAUGCCUUGAAUACAUUAGCAUGGAAUAAUGAGAUAGGACCUCGGUUCUAUUUUGUUGGUUUCUAGGAUUGAGGUAAUGAUUAAUAGGGAUAGUUGGGGGCAUUCGUAUUUAAUUGUCAGAGGUGAAAUUCUUGGAUUUGUUAAAGACGGACUACUGUGAAAGCAUUUGCCAAGGAUGUUUUCAUUGAUCAAGAACGAAAGUA